rnacentral:rRNA from 1 species
UACAGAGGUGGCAAGCGUUGUUCGGAAUUACUGGGCGUAAAGGGCGAGUAGGCGGCCUUCUAAGUCAGACGUGAAAUCCCCCGGCUUAACCUGGGAACUGCGUCUGAUACUGGGAGGCUAGAGUAUGGGAGAGGGAUGUGGAAUUCCAGGUGUAGCGGUGAAAUGCGUAGAUAUCUGGAGGAACACCGGUGGCGAAGGCGGCAUCCUGGACCAUACCUGACGCUGAGACGCGAAAGCGUGGGGAGCAAACAGG